UCCUUUCUUUAACAUGGAGGCACUUGCUGUGAGUUUAUAAAAAUAAGUGCUCCAUGUUUCAGUGUGGU
rfam:Neotoma lepida isolate 417 scaffold_394, whole genome shotgun sequence.